rnacentral:rRNA from 1 species
AUUGAACGCUGGCGGCAGGCCUAACACAUGCAAGUCGAGCGGAUGAAGGGAGCUUGCUCCUGGAUUCAGCGGCGGACGGGUGAGUAAUGCCUAGGAAUCUGCCUGGUAGUGGGGGAUAACGUCCGGAAACGGGCGCUACUACCGCCUACGUCCUGCGGGAGCAAGUGGGGGAUCUUCGGACCUCACGCUCUCAGAUGAGCCUAGGUGGGAGUAGCUAGUUGGUGGGGUAAAGGCCUACCAAGUCGACGAUCCGUAACUGGUCUGAGUGGAUGAUCAGUCACAUUGGAACGGGAACAGGGUCCAGGCUCCUACGGGAGGCAGCAGUGGGGAAUAUGGGACAGUAGUCGGAAGCCUGAUCCAGCGAGGCCGCGUGUGUUAAGAAGGUCUUCGGUUUGGAAAGAACGCUAAGUGGGGAGGAACGGCAGUAAGCUAAUACCUUGCUGUAGUGACGUUACCAACAGAAGAAGCACCGGCUAACUUCGUG